rnacentral:misc_RNA from 1 species
GUCCUGACUUCCUCCAAGG